ACCGUAUUACUUAAAUUGUCUAAUUUUAAAGAUUACCCUAUUUAGUACAGCAGUGGAAUAUUUAAUAUAUUUUAAGUUUAUUUACUUUUUGUAUAACGGUUAAACUAGAAUUAACGAGAAUAAGUUUUCCCGAAUUAGGAAGAUCUAAAUAUCUAACAUUGUUUUAGCAUGGAGUUUCUAUGUUGCAUUAUGGAAUGAAGAUAGGUGUUUAGGGGCGAAAAGCCUACAAUUCCUAGGAUAUCUGGAUGAUAAGUAAAGGUAUUUAGUACCUAAGACAUGGGUGAGGUGCCGAGAUCUCGCCCGGGGAGAAUGUAUUUUAUCAGGAAUGAUUAAUUUUAGAGGUAAUACUCCUAAAUGAGUGGUUAUUUUAAAAUUCUUCAAAGUAAAUAUCUCUAUAUAACUUGUCUUCUUUCUUGAAUUAAUAAUAAAGUUAAUAAUGUUUAAAUUAGUAAUGAAGUUGAAUUCUAAUUAGUAAAUCUAGGUAAAGGAACUCGGCAAAAAUUGUAUCUCACCUGUUUAUCAAAAACAUAGCCUAAAGAAAUUACCAAUAAUUUUAGGUGAAACCUGCCCAAUGCCUUCACGGUGAAUGGCCGCAGUACCCUGACUGUGCUAAGGUAGCAUAAUCAGUUGGCUUUUAAAUGGAGUCGUGUAUGAAUGGAUUGAUGGGGUUAAGCUGUCUCUACUAGAUUUAUUUGAAUUUAAUGAGGAGGUGAAAAUGCCUCCGUUAAGAUGAAGGACGAUAAGACCCUUGGAGUUUUGACUAGAAAAGUUCAAUUGCUUCGUUGUUUUUGCUGGGGCGGCACAGAGGAAAAUAUUUAACCCUCUGAGGAUUAUAGGCCGAAAGUUUUAAGUGCAGUUAAACUACCCGAGGGAUAACAGCAUUAUUCUAUAUAGAGUUUGUGACCUCGAUGUUGGACUAGGAAUUAAUUAGGCUAGUCGCUUAAAUGUAUUGUUCUGUUCGAACUAUUUUUCCU
rnacentral:rRNA from 1 species